CUUUAACAAUCCGGAACAAGCUGAAAUUUGAAUCCUCAGCAACAAUGAGUUUUACACUGACAUUGUUGAACUGAGCGAGUCUCUCAAUAUUUGCAGCACGAAUGCGUCUUGUAAGAGACACCUUCGG
rfam:Pragia fontium strain 24613, complete genome.